UACGGAGGGUGCAAGCGUUGCUCGGAAUUACUGGGCGUAAAGCGCGUGUAGGCGGUUUCGUGUGUCUGAUGUGAAAUCCCCGGGCUCAACCCGGGAAGUGCAUUGGAAACUGCGAGACUAGAGUCCCGGAGAGGAAGGUGGAAUUCCAGGUGUAGCGGUGAAAUGCGUAGAUAUCAGGAGGAACACCGGUGGUGUAGACGGCUCUCUGGACCGUAACUGACGCUGAGACACGAAAGCGUGGGUAGCAAACAGG
rnacentral:rRNA from 1 species